CUACGGGGUGCUCCAGUGGGGAAUAUUGGACAAUGGGCGCAAGCCUGAUCCAGCCAUGCCGCGUGAGUGAUGAAGGCUUUAGGGUUGUAAAGCUCUUUCGCCGAUGAAGAUAAUGACGGUAGUCGGAGAAGAAGCCCCGGCUAACUUCGUGCCAGCAGCCGCGGUAAUACGAAGGGGGCUAGCGUUGUUCGGAAUUACUGGGCGUAAAGCGAGCGUAGGUUGUGUCGCAAGUCAGGGGUGAAAUCCCAGAGCUUAACUCUGGAACUGCCUUUGAAACUGCGAUGCUAGAAUCUCGGAGGGGGUAGCGGAAUUCCAAAUGUAGGGGUGAAAUCCGUAGAUAUUUGGAGGAACACCGGUGGCGAAGGCGGCUACCUGGACGAGUAUUGACACUGAGGCUCGAAAGCGUGGGGAUCAAACAGGAUAGAUACCCCCGUAGUC
rnacentral:rRNA from 1 species